GGCGUUGUACCAAAGUGGUUACUGGGUUUGACUCGAAAUCAAAUGUCUUCGGACGCGUAGGUUCGAAUCCUGCCAACGUCG
rnacentral:tRNA from 1 species